rnacentral:rRNA from 1 species
GAUGAACGCUAGCGGCAGGCUUAACACAUGCAAGUCGAGGGGUAGAAGGAGCUUGCUCCUUUGAGACCGGCGCACGGGUGCGUAACGCGUAUGCAAUCUACCUUUUGCAGAGGGAUAGCCCAGAGAAAUUUGGAUUAAUACCUCAUAGUAUGUGAGGAUGGCAUCAUUUUCACAUUAAAGUCACAACGGCAAAAGAUGAGCAUGCGUCCCAUUAGCUAGUUGGUAAGGUAACGGCUUACCAAGGCUACGAUGGGUAGGGGUCCUGAGAGGGAGAUCCCCCACACUGGUACUGAGACACGGACCAGACUCCUACGGGAGGCAGCAGUGAGGAAUAUUGGACAAUGGGCGCAAGCCUGAUCCAGCCAUGCCGCGUGCAGGAAGACGGUCCUAUGGAUUGUAAACUGCUUUUAUACAGGAAGAAACACUCCCUCGUGAGGGAACUUGACGGUACUGUAUGGAAUAAGCAUCGGCUAACUCCGUG